rnacentral:rRNA from 1 species
CCUACGGGCGGCAGCAGUGAGGAAUAUUGGUCAAUGGGCGCAAGCCUGAACCAGCCAAGUAGCGUGAAGGAUGACUGCCCUACGGGUUGUAAACUUCUUUUAUACAGGAAUAAAGUGAGGCACGUGUGCCUCUUUGUAUGUACUUUACGAAUAAGGAUCGGCUAACUCCGUGCCAGCAGCCGCGGUAAUACGGAGGAUCCGAGCGUUAUCCGGAUUUAUUGGGUUUAAAGGGUGCGUAGAUGGGUUGUUAAGUCAGUUGUGAAAGUUUGAGGCUCAACCGUAAAAUUGCAAUUGAUACUGGCAGUCUUGAGUACAGUUGAGGUAGGCGGAAUGCGUGGUGUAGCGGUGAAAUGCUUAGAUAUCACGAAGAACUCCGAUUGCGAAGGCAGCUUACUAAACUGCCACUGACGUUGAUGCACGAAAGUGUGGGUAUCAAACAGGAUUAGAUACCCGAGUAGUC